rnacentral:rRNA from 1 species
UACGUAGGGGGCAAGCGUUGUCCGGAUUUAUUGGGCGUAAAGAGCGUGUAGGCGGUCUGGUAGGUCCGUUGUGAAAACUCGAGGCUCAACCUCGAGACGCCGAUGGAAACCAUCAGACUAGAGUCCGGAAGAGGAGAGUGGAAUUCCUGGUGUAGCGGUGAAAUGCGUAGAUAUAGGGAAGAACACCAAGAAAGGCGAAGGCAGUUAACUAUUCUAUUCCUGACAUUGAGGCAUGAAAGCGUGGGGAGCAAAACGG